rnacentral:rRNA from 1 species
UAGAGUUUGAUCCUGGCUCAGAUUGAACGCUGGCGGCAGGCCUAACACAUGCAAGUCGAACGGUAACAGGAAGAAGCUUGCUUCUUUGCUGACGAGUGGCGGACGGGUGAGUAAUGUCUGGGAAACUGCCUGAUGGAGGGGGAUAACUACUGGAAACGGUAGCUAAUACCGCAUAACGUCGCAAAACCAAAGAGGGGGACCUUCGGGCCUCUUGCCAUCGGAUGUGCCCAGAUGGGAUUAGCUAGUAGGUGGGGUAACGGCUCACCUAGGCGACGAUCCCUAGCUGGUCUGAGAGGAUGACCAGCCACACUGGAACUGAGACACGGUCCAGACUCCUACGGGA